AGAGCGAACGCUGGCGGCAGGCUUAACACAUGCAAGUCGAACGCUUUUGGGGCUUCGGUCCCAAAGGAGUGGCGCACGGGUGAGUAGCGCGUGGGAACCUGCCCUGGAGUGGGGGAUAACCGAGGGAAACUUCGGCUAAUACCGCAUACGCCGGGAAACCGGGAAAGAUCUAUCGCUCUAGGAGGGGCCCGCGUCGGAUUAGCUAGUUGGUGGGGUAACGGCCUACCAAGGCUUUGAUCCGUAGCUGGUCUGAGAGGAUGAUCAGCCACACUGGGACUGAGACACGGCCCAGACUCCUACGGGAGGCAGCAGUGGGGAAUAUUGGACAAUGGGCGCAAGCCUGAUCCAGCAAUGCCGCGUGAGUGAUGAAGGCCUUCGGGUUGUAAAGCUCUUUCGCACGCGAGGAUGAUGACGCUAGCGUGAGAAGAAGCCCCGGCUAACUUCGUGCCAGCAGCCGC
rnacentral:rRNA from 1 species